rnacentral:rRNA from 1 species
ACAGCAGCAGCCGCGGUAAUACGAAGGGUGCAAGCGUUAAUCGGAAUUACUGGGCGUAAAGCGUGCGUAGGCGGUGAGUUAAGUCUGCUGUGAAAUCCCCGGGCUCAACCUGGGAAUGGCAGUGGAUACUGGCUCGCUAGAGUGUGUCAGAGGAUGGUGGAAUUCCCGGUGUAGCGGUGAAAUGCGUAGAGAUCGGGAGGAACAUCAGUGGCGAAGGCGGCCAUCUGGGACAACACUGACGCUGAGGCACGAAAGCGUGGGGAGCAAACAGGAUUAGAUACCCGAGUAGUCCCUGUCUCUUAUAU